UACGUAGGGGGCAAGCGUUGUCCGGAAUCAUUGGGCGUAAAGAGCGUGUAGGCGGUCUUAUAAGUCGGCUGUGAAAGUCAAGGGCUCAACCCUUGAAUGCCGGCCGAUACUGUGAGGCUAGAGUCCGGAAGAGGCGAGUGGAAUUCCUGGUGUAGCGGUGAAAUGCGCAGAUAUCAGGAGGAACACCGAUGGCGAAGGCAGCUCGCUGGGACGGUACUGACGCUGAGACGCGAAAGCGUGGGGAGCGAACAGG
rnacentral:rRNA from 1 species